rnacentral:lncRNA from 1 species
CAGACAGAUGCUAGUCAGUGCGGGAAGCCAUUCCUGAUGACCUAAUCUACAGAAUGAAACCCCUCCCCCAUUGUUCUAUUUCAUAGCACCCUGUUCACAGUUUGUAAUUGUACACUCACCAGGUUGUUUACUUGAUUGACGGCUGUCUUCCUCGUGGAUCAUGAACUCUGUGAAAGCGGGAAUCAGAGCUGUUUUGCAGCAUGCCCAACAUCUAGGGGAGUACCGGGAAGCAGGAGGCAUUCAGUAAAUACUGAUGGAGUCAAUGUAUUAUACAUUAUAUUAUCUUAUAUAUAUAUUAUGCAAUAUAUAAUGUAUAUGUUCUAUGGAGUAAAUAUUAUGGAGU